rnacentral:tRNA from 2 species
GGCCCGCUAGCUCAACUGGCAGAGCAGCUGACUCUUAAUCAGCAGGUUCUCGGUUCGACCCCGAGGCGGGUCACCA